ACGAAGCUUCAGUCUUAGUGUGGUAGUUUCAGGAUUUGAUGUCAGCUUUGUCUUACCCAUUACAAAGCCACUAUGGUCUUUGAUGUCUAUUGUUUGAAGGUGCUGCAAAGCCAAGCGGAUAAUAUUGACUGUUUAUGGUAGAUUAGACAGCGUGUCGUGUGCUCUUGGUCAACCGAAAAGUUAAAGGUGCCCUUCUUGAGGUCCCAAUUGAGCUCUAGGCUGCUCUGGAUGAUUAACAAGUCUGUUGGCAAAUGUAGAUUCUUCAAAUCGCUGGCAUGAUCUUCACUGAGAAAGGCCCUAAUAACAACUUUGCUGUUUGAAGCAAUCUUUUGCAAGGUUCAAACAGGCAAGCAUGCUCGGAGUCCUUUUGAGCAGGCUGACUGCAGCCACUGGUGAAGGAAGAGACUUUAGGACAUUGUUUAUAUAAAAGUCUCUUUCAACAAACUGUCUAAUGCCUUGCCCAUACUCUAUUCUAUGAUGUUCCUGGCAGGGUCAUUGUCUUUGAACCAGAAGAAUCUUGCAAAGUUCCUGUGAUCUUCUUCGACUAGGAGACAAUGGAACAUUUGACAUAUAUGAGCAACAAUGGUGAUGGAUUCUUUCUGAAAUCUAAUGAGGACACAAAGAAGUGUGUUAUUAAGGUCUGGUCCUGUCAAAAGAACAUCAUUAAGGAAACUUCAUACUGUGAGCUGGAGUUGAACACUACACAGAUUUGUCCAGGCUUCUUAGGAUGACAAGACAACAAAAAUAAGAAGGCCUUCUCGAAUCAACACCCACCAUUGUUCUUCUUGCUGUGGGAAGCCAAGCUCUGCUUUGCCGACAGCAAAGCAAAGAAUCUCCACCUUCACAGGUCUUACAUCAGUCUACCAUUUCUAUCCCAUUGGCAUUGUGUCCUGUUUUAUCUUCAUAUCCGCAUACCAAAGGUUAAUUCCAUGAGUUGGAGGUAUGGAGAUAUGCAAGGUACGUUGUUCCACAUCUGCUUGUCUUGUAGAAUUGUGUCAUCUUUCCAACACAUUUCCCUGUCAGUCUAUAUACAUUCGCUCUUGACCGAGGCUCUUUGGCUGAAACGUUGCAUCUGGAAUAAAUUGCACAAAAAAGACGUGCUGUCUCCAUACUUAUUUUUGAUAUACAUGAUCUGCUAAUGUCAGGACACAUCUCACCGCCCUAAGGCAUGAUGGGACAGCAGACACAUGACAAACCAGGAAGUAGGAUUCAAGCAUGGGAGAUAAGAGAAAACUGCAAGUGAGGUAAAUCUGAAAAAACUAUACAAGGAGGAAUGGUGGCUGAAGUAACUGAGGAAAAUAAACUUUAGGCCUCAUGCACACGACCGUUGUUUUAUUCCGUGUCCGUUGUUCCGUUUUUCGUGAUUUUGUGC